AUUGAACGCUGGCGGUAGGCCUAACACAUGCAAGUCGAGCGAGCGGCGGACGGGUGCGUAAUGUCUGGGAAACUGCCUGAUGGAGGGGGAUAACUACUGGAAACGGUUGCUAAUACAGCACAACAUCAGAUGUGCCCAGAAGGGAGUAGCUAGUAGGUGGGGUAACGGCCCAAAUAGGCGACGAGCACUAGCUGGUCUGAGAGGAUGACCAGCCAAACUGGAACUGAGACACGGUCCAGACUCCUACGGGAGGCAGCAGUGGGGAAUCUUGCACAAUGGGCGCAAGCCUGAUGCAGCCAUGCCGCGUGUGUGAAGAAGGCCUUCGGGUUGUAAAGCACUGUCAGCGGGGAGGCGUUACCCGCAGAAGAAGCACCGGCUAACUCCGUGCCAGCAGCCGCGGUAAUAC
rnacentral:rRNA from 1 species